AGGUGCGAUCAUACCAGCACUAAUCAAUCGGAUCCCAUCAGAACUCCGCAGUGAAGCGUACUUGGUUCCAGUAUUCAGCAUGCGAUGAAAGAAGUGUGGAAACAAAGUUUCAUGCA
rfam:Lupinus angustifolius cultivar Tanjil contig_23389, whole genome shotgun sequence.